GGUCGGGUGGCGCAAUGGUAGCGCGUUGCUUUCCGGUUCCCCUGGAAUUUGGCAAAGGUUCUGGGUUCGAGUCCCAGCUUGAUCG
rnacentral:tRNA from 1 species